rnacentral:lncRNA from 1 species
AAAUAUCUUAUUUCUUGGUUGUCCCAAUACGGCCCCAACAGCGAAAUCACUAGCGCCGCACAAUAAUUCAAAUAGCAAGUUCCAAUCCGAUGUGAUGAUCACGGGUGCUGAAAUCAACUUUUCUUUCAAGGUGUUAAAAACCAGCAAAAACUCGUCUAUGAACUCAAAUGUGAAUUCCUUCAUCAACAAAUAGCACAGUGGUUUAGUUAUUUUUGAGAAAUCUUUGAUGAACCUUCUGUAGAAACCGGCAUGCCCAAGGAAGCUACGAACACCUUUCACUGAUGUUGGUGGCAGUAAUUUUUCGAUCACCUGAAUCUUUGCUCUGUUUACCUCAAUACCCUUUGCUGAGAUUCUGUAUCCUAAAAUGAUGUCCUCCUGUACCGUAAAGUGACAUUUCUCCCAAUUCAAUACCAAGUUGGUCUCUGUAUACCGCUGUAACACAAG